rnacentral:rRNA from 1 species
CCUACGGGUGGCAGCAGUGGGGAAUAUUGCACAAUGGGCGAAAGCCUGAUGCAGCAACGCCGCGUGAAGGAAGAAGGGUUUCGGCUCGUAAACUUCUAUCAACAGGGACGAAAGAAAUGACGGUACCUCAAUAAGAAGUUCCGGCUAACUACGUGCCAGCAGCCGCGGUAAUACGUAGGGGGCAAGCGUUAUCCGGAAUUACUGGGGGUAAUGGGUGAGUAGGCGGCAUGGUAAGCCAGGUGUGAAAGCCUUGGGCUUAACCUGGGAAUUGCAUUUGAAACUAUCAAGCUAGAGUUCAGGAGAGGAAAGCGGAAUUCCAGGUGUAGCGGUGAAAUGCGUAGAUAUUAGGAAGAACACCAGUGGCGAAGGCGACUAUCUGGACUGAAACUGACGCUGAGGCACGAAAGCGUGGGGAGCGAACAGGAUUAGAUACCCGGGUAGUC